UAGGGAAUCUUCCGCAAUGGGCGAAAGCCUGACGGAGCAACGCCGCGUGAGUGAUGAAGGUCUUCGGAUCGUAAAACUCUGUUAUUAGGGAAGAACAAAUGUGUAAGUAACUAUGCACGUCUUGACGGUACCUAAUCAGAAAGCCACGGCUAACUACGUGCCAGCAGCCGCGGUAAUACGUAGGUGGCAAGCGUUAUCCGAAAUUAUUGGGCGUAAAGCGCGCGUAGGCGGUUUUUUAAGUCUGAUGUGAAAGCCCACGGCUCAACCGUGGAGGGUCAUUGGAAACUGAAAAACUUGAGUGCAGAAGAGGAAAGUGGAAUUCCAUGUGUAGCGGUGAAAUGCGCAGAGAUAUGGAGGAACACCAGUGGCGAAGGCGACUUUCUGGUCUGUAACUGACGCUGAUGUGCGAAAGCGUGAGGAUCAAACAGG
rnacentral:rRNA from 1 species